CUCAGAGAUGACAAAAGAUGGGAUAGAAGAGACUGACGGAAUCUUUAGAGAGAUGCAUCUGACUUGAAGGUCAUUUUCUUGUAUAAUACUUUGCUAUAAUUAUAUGUUUCUCCUCAAAUAUGGGAUGACUUUGGGUUUGGGUUAUUUAGGAUAGGUAUUGUAGGCAAGCAAAUUGUUGUAGCCAGGUGAUAAAUUUUUAGUUAGCAGUAAAAUCUUGUUUAGUAAUUAGUUUGCUCGUGAUGUAUAAAUUUUGUGUUAUGGCUACAUCUUUUUUACACUG
rnacentral:misc_RNA from 1 species